GUGUCUGCAGCUAUGGCUGCAGCGUCAGCCAGCAGAGAAUGAGUGUGUCUGCAAUUCCUAGGGCUCCUCAAGUCUCCUUCCAGCCUCUUAGUUUAGGCCUCGCCUACCCUGGGUUCAGCAAGCAGUGCAUACGGUGGGAACAGCAAGACAAUCGGAGUCACGAGCAGGAUCAGCAAUACAGCAGGCCUGCCAGACCACCUCCACCUACCUUCAGGAUUGGGAAGGGCCAGGAGUGCACACUGGCUCCGCCCACUUUGGCCCCGCCCACACCAUGGAAGCGCCCCGCCCCAAGCCUAGUCCGGUCCGCAUUCAGAGAGAGCCCGCCCACCAGGGCCCCAUCCUUGACCUGGCCCCUCCCCAGCCCGCCGAGAGCCGGUCUGCAGCCACCCCAGCCGAGAGCCCUGUAGACUCACGGCAGACUCCCUGGAAGCAGGAGUGGAUGUUGGGAGCACCAGCUGUGGGUGAGGACAGUGCUGCUGUUCAUGGCAGAGACCUUGGCCUGUACGACACAUGGUGUUGGAAAUUGUUUCUUAU